rnacentral:lncRNA from 1 species
UAGGAUAAUUACCCCUCUUGGCUGGUCAGUUUGUGUUGUGUUUGAUGCAUCCCAGGAUGAGGUUUGCCCUCUUGGCUGCCAGGGCACACGCUGCUGACUCCUCUUGAGCCUCCUGUCAAUUGGCAGCCCCAGGCCCCUUUCUGUGGGGCUGCUCUCCAGCCACUCCUCUCCUAGCUUAUACUUCUACCCAGCAGUAUUCUCUCCCAGGUACAGACUCUGGUAUUUCAGGUGGCUAAAUUUCGUCCCAUUAAUCCUAACUAAAUGUUCCUGUCUAUCCAUAUCUCUCGUCAAGGCUACUUGUCCUUCAAAACAGUCAACAACACCUCCCAGUUCAGUAUCAUUAGCAAACUUGCUAAUGGUGCAUUCAACUCAUGCACCCAAAUAAUUGAUAAAUGUAUUGAACAGAACUGUCCCCAGGAUUAAGCCUGAGGAGCACUGCUAGUGACUGAUCUCUAGCCAGACAUGGCCUCAUUCCCUACAACACUUUCAGUUCUACCCUCCAGUCUGUUAAAGCUUGAGUAGACAAUAUGCACCUUGCCACCUUCUUUAAAAAAAAAAGCAAUAAUUUGCAUUUUUUUUCUUUUCCAGAUGAAUUUCUGCAGCAAAUGUGUGUUGUUCGCACUCUGUCUCCUCAACUGAUCUGAGUUUCAUUUCAGUCAAGACAAUUACAUCAUCCCCUUUGAGCCAAGUAUUCCUGGAGUGGUAAGGUGGGAAGUACAGUCAUUAAUGGGAUUAAACCCUAUCCUGCAGAAAGCAAGAAAGAAAAAGAUCACUGUUCUGGUUUAAAACAGCGGUAUGGGGAAUCACUAAGCUGCAGGGAGAUACGUUCUGAGCUGUAUGUAUCUGCCUCUGCAGCUCAAGAGAUGCAUAGCUGUACAGUGGACUGGUUAACUGAACAGAUUUCUGGACAUUUCAAAAGAAAGAACAUUCCCAUCUUCUGUUUUCGAAAUAGAUACAGGGAUAGAUUCUGCAGCCACAAGAAGCAGGUUGGAUUAAGACAAAAACAACUGAUGGAAGAGGAAAGUCGUGAUUUCCUUGAAGUGCUGUACCAUCUGUCAGCUCUACUCAUCUUUUCUUCAAACUUAUUUUGAGAUAUUUCUGCAGGGAGUGAAGAUAUAGCAUGACCCCAUUGAUCCCAGAUAGCUUCUGUAGAAAAGCAGCCAGAUCUGAAGUUCAUUUGUGUUGAGAACUGAUGAUAAACCUUGCAGACUUUUACCACAGAUGAGAGGAUCAUAUUCCACGAUGGCCAUAAACCAUGCUAAGAAAGGUUUGUAUUCUUGUGAAAGCUGUAAAUUACUGAACCUGGCUUUUUCAUAUUUUUCUUGAACUUGAAAAAUACAGUGAUUAUGCAAUACAAUAAAUAGAUUCUUUUAUGUUUAAAUGUGAUUAUU